CAGCCGCCCUCCUCCUCUGCUCCAACGCCUGAAGAGUCUGCCCACUCCGCGACGCCGCUCAGUCCGCCAUCGCCGUCUGCCCAAUCCUCCGUCACCGUCUCCCACUCCUCCACUCCCAGACGGUUAAGUUCCAGGAAGGUCGCUGUCGCCGUCUCUCCUUCUCCACUGCUCGAACGCCUCGAAGCUCCAGUCCGGGUCUCCCUCGCUGUCUCCGUCUCCCACUCCAGGUAGACAUUUAUACUGGUUCUUCAUUACAGAAUGCUAAUUUAACUUAAAACAAAAUGGACAAAUAAUUAGAGCUCAGAUCCGCAAUUUCUCUACUCUGUGUUUUUGUUCUUCCUGUGUCGGAUAGAAACGAAACCAGAUUGUUGUUAAAAGAAUUGGCGAUCGAGGAAAAGCCUCGUGUCCCCAGGUAUUUCCCACUCUCUGUUGCUACCCUUACCUGCAUUUAUCUUUGGGUUUCAUAUGCAUUUUCUUGUGGAGCAUAUUGUUUCAAGAAUUUUUGAAUUGGUGCUAAUUCUUGUAUGAAAGUUAAGAAAGAAGAGAGCUUUAGAGGUUAAGGUUUUAAAUUGGAUAAAACCCAGCGAGGAAAUCGACAAAAUUUUAGGUUUAGAAGUAGUGGAUAACAGAGGCAUUAGCUCAAAGUUUUUAACUUUAUUGAUAUUUUGAAGAAGAAGAUUUUGCCUUAUAAAAGGAGAACUUUGAGCCAAUCAGGCAAACAUAAGCGGUUUAACUUUAAAGAGGUGAUUUUGUGGCAUAAAGUUCAUAUACUUUCCUCCAAUAUCAAUGAUCCUUUUUCAAGAGUGACAGAGUGACUGGAAACUUUGGUUUGUAUGGAAAAUGGCAAUCUUCAGCAAGCACAGGGAAAAUUAAUUUGUUUUUUGGCACUUUUGCCCAUAAUGACAGUCACAAUUGUUACCCGAGCUUGCAAAUUGCAGUGCCAAGUAUAUUUCACAUGUUGAUAUGAGCCUUUAAUCACAAUGAUCAAAACAUAUAACUUUUGGAAGAAAUUGAUAAUUUUUAUUUUUUAUUUUUAAAAAGCAUUCAUGUUUAGUAUGUGAAAACAUUGAGCUAGAUAUGCAACUACAUCUAGUAUAGCAAGUUAUAUCAAACUUAGUGCUUGCCAAGUAAUUUACUUUCCUUGAAUUCCUAAUGGAUAGCAUCACUACGUACACCUUGAAUUUACUUUCUUUUUUAUAAUGGUAUCUAUGGAUUAAAGGCUCAGAAAAAAAUAGUAUAUGAUACUUUGUUGUUUAUAAUGUUGAAAUUUCUAGGAAUCAUUGUGUAAUACUGUAAUCAUUAAAAUAUAAAAAAUGUACUUUGCUUUGGCCACUGCUAAUAUUGCUUAUGAUUCUUUUGGUUCUUCAGGUGCAUGUGUUAUCCCUUAUAAUUGAAUAUAACAUCUUCCACUAGUCCUUGCUAACAGGUUUCUCAGAUCCCUUAAAUGGUGUUUGUGGAGAGAUUUCUGAGCAAGAUUAUGUCUUGCUAUACAAGGGGGCAGGUACAAACAUUCUGAUUUCUGAGUAAGAAAAUUACAUUAUCCAUGCUUACACUCUUGCGAUAUUUGAUUCUGCUUGUAUGAUCUUACCUUCACCCUUGCAGUUCUCCUUUAAUGACUUAUUUGAUUUUUUUAUGCACAAAAUUAGGAAUCAUUUGCCAUUUAUUUCCAUGAUCAGAAGAGAAUAUUUCAUGAUAGCUUUUACCUUGUCUAUUCCCAGACUAUAUGACACUAUAUAAUAUGAUUACAAAUCCAAGUCUACUGAGUAUUGUGAAAAAAAGCCAAAUGGAAAUGGUGUCCUGGGGUUUUUCAUUAUUCUUUAUUUUGUAAAAUGAAAUGCAUGCUUUAACUUGUUAAUUUCCUGGCAGAAGGUUCUGAUUCAACAGCUAAACUUGUUCAUAACAAUGAACUGAUUAGAGAGUUUAUAGUCUUUCAUGGUGUUUUCCUCCAAAACCAGAGUCACCACAAGCAAGGUUAUUGUUUGACACCAGUUUUUCUAAGAGCAACAACAGACAGCAUAAAUGACAACAAGAAAAACAUAUAUAAUAUGUUACAUUUCUCACCAAUCAUGUCUUCGUACAGACAGCAUAAAUUACAGCUAGAAUUUACUUGUGUUAUUAGACUUGAAUUGAAUAUUAUUACUUACUAAAUGUUGAUUGAUAAUGUAUUAUUACUUGAACUUAAUGUGGAAAUUAUAAUGUUUUAUAA